AAUUUCAGCCAAAACCCUUCUCAGCCCCCUGUGAAAGGUGAGAAAGCAGAGAAGAGAUUAUGGUAUCUCUCCAGAUUUUAGCUCUGAUCAGUCAAUCUCUCUCACUCCUUCUCUCUCUGUCUGGGCUAUAUCUUAAUGGCAACACCAGACUUACAAACUUCUGGCACUUUAUGCGAGUCGAUUCUGAUUCAUAUUUGAUAUGCAUUAUUGUUAGUCUUGACAGCAAAGACAGCAAGGGUCAUUCCAAGAACACAGAUGGAACAGAAGAUGCAGAACACACACGGUUGGAGAAAGUGAGGACAAAUAUAAAAAUUUAAAUCAAAGGGGAGGACAGUUCAAAUUCAUAUAGAUGUUGAGGGCCAGAAUACCAGGGUCCCUGAUGAUAUCACUACAACUGCAAAGCAAAAGAAAAAGAAAACAUAAGAAGAGGCUGACAAAGAAAUGAAUACCAGAGUCCCUGACAAUAUCACUGCUACCCCAAAGCUACUGAAUUGGAGCGUCAGCGUUUGGAGGAGGACGCUCUGAAGGAGGAGGAAUGCAAGAAGCUGUCAGAGAUGGAGGAGGCUGACAGACUGUAGUACCUGUGCAGACAGCAGGAGGAAGAGGA